rnacentral:rRNA from 1 species
UACGGAGGUGGCAAGCGUUGCUCGGAAUCACUGGGCGUAAAGGGCGCGUAGGCGGGGAGGUAAGUCGGGGGUGAAAUCCCUCGGCCCAACCGAGGAACUGCGCCCGAGACUGCUUCUCUUGAGUCCCGGAGAGGAAGAUGGAAUUCCCGGUGUAGCGGUGAAAUGUGUAGAGAUCGGGAGGAACACCGGUGGCGAAGGCGGUCUUCUGGACGGUGACUGACGCUGAGGCGCGAAAGCGUGGGGAGCAAACGGG